rnacentral:rRNA from 1 species
UACGAGUGCCCCGAGCGUUAUCCGGAAUUAUUGGGCGUAAAGCGUGUGUAGGUGGUCAUGUUAGUCUCCUGCGAAAUUCUUCGGCUUAACCGGGGCAUGAUGGGAGAAACGACAUGACUGAGAGGGUGCGAGGGGUCUGUAGAACUCUAGGUGUAGGGGUGAAAUCCGUUGAUAUCUAGGGGAAUACCAAAAGCGAAGGCAGCAGACUGGCGCAUUCCUGACACUGAGACACUAAAGCGUGGGUAGCGAAUGGG